UACGUAGGGUGCGAGCGUUAAUCGGAAUUACUGGGCGUAAAGCGUGCGCAGGCGGUUUUGCAAGCCGGAUGUGAAAUCCCCGGGCUCAACCUGGGAAUGGCAUUCGGGACUGCAAGGCUGGAGUGCGGCAGAGGAGACUGGAAUUCCUGGUGUAGCAGUGAAAUGCGUAGAUAUCAGGAAGAACACCCGUGGCGAAGGCGGCUCUCUGGGACGGUACUGACGCUGAGACGCGAAAGCGUGGGGAGCGAACAGG
rnacentral:rRNA from 1 species